rnacentral:rRNA from 1 species
UGGGGAAUAUUGGACAAUGGGGGGAACCCUGAUCCAGCCAUGCCGCGUGUGUGAAGAAGGCCUUUUGGUUGUAAAGCACUUUAAGCGAGGAGGAGGCUUACCUGGUUAAUACCUGGGAUAAGUGGACGUUACUCGCAGAAUAAGCACCGGCUAACUCUGUGCCAGCAGCCGCGGUAAUACAGAGGGUGCAAGCGUUAAUCGGAUUUACUGGGCGUAAAGCGCGCGUAGGUGGCUAAUUAAGUCAAAUGUGAAAUCCCCGAGCUUAACUUGGGAAUUGCAUUCGAUACUGGUUAGCUAGAGUAUGGGAGAGGAUGGUAGAAUUCCAGGUGUAGCGGUGAAAUGCGUAGAGAUCUGGAGGAAUACCGAUGGCGAAGGCAGCCAUCUGGCCUAAUACUGACACUGAGGUGCGAAAGCAUGGGGAGCAAACA